GAGUGGCGCAAGGGUGAGUAAUACGAAGGUAACCAACCCUGAAGUUGGGCAUAGCCGCGGGAAACUGCGGGUAAUUCCCAGCGACGUUGCGAGAUGGCAUCAUCUUGCAACCAAAGGUGUGAUUCCGCUUUAGGACGGGCCUUCGUGGUAUUAGGUAGUUGGUGAGGUAACGGCUCACCAAGCCUACGAUGCCUACCGGGUGUGAGAGCAUGACCCGGCACACUGGAACUGAGACACUGUCCAGACACCUACGGGUGGCUGCAGUCGAGAAUCUUCGGCAAUGGGCGAAAGCCUGACCGAGCGACGCCGCGUGAGGGAUUGAAGGCCUUCGGGUUGUAAACCUCUUUCGUAGAGGAGGAAGGGGCUGUGAAGAACAGUCCUUGACCUAUUCUAGGAAGAAGCUUGGGCUAAGUUCGUGCCAGCAGCCGCGGUAAGACGAACCAAGCGAACGUUAUUCGGAAUUACUGGGCUUAAAGCGCGUGUAGGCGGACUACCACGUUGGUUGUUGAAAUCCCCCGGCUUAACCGGGGAACUGGCACCAAUACGAGUAGUCUGGAGGUGGGUAGGGGAGACUGGAACUUCCGGUGGAGCGGUGAAAUGCGUUGAGAUCGGAAGGAACGCCCGCGGCGAAAGCGAGUCUCUGGACCCAUACUGACGCUGAGACGCGAAAGCCAGGGGAGCAAACGGGAUUAGAUACCCCGGUAGUCCUGGCUGUAAACAUUGGGCACUGGGUAGUGGAACCGCCGAUGGUUUCACUGCCGCAGGGAAACCGUGAAGUGCCCCGCCUGGGGAGUAUGGUCGCAAGGCUGAAACUCAAAGGAAUUGACGGGGGCUCACACAAGCAGUGGAGUAUGUGGCUUAAUUCGAGGCUACGCGAAAAACCUUACCUAGGC
rnacentral:rRNA from 1 species